rnacentral:sRNA from 1 species
AACGCGGGCCUUCUGUGCCGCGAAAUAGUCGGCCAGCCUCUCUGAGAGAGGGAGCGGGCAGAUCGGGUC